rnacentral:lncRNA from 1 species
UAACUUCUCCAUGGCUGUCAUUACUAAGAUUCUUGCUUUUAGGUCUUUGUUUAAUUGCACCUCCAUAUCACUUAGUGGCCUGUAAUCCUGGACAACAUCAAGUAUGCCCACUAGUUGAUUAGCAGCACACAACAGAAGUCUGUUUCUUCCAAUUUUUGACUUGGCUCAUUUCCUGAGAUUAUUUCAUGUUCUUUCCAAUUUUAUGUGAAGCCUGAGAAAAGGAUUAUGUAUCUAGAUGAGUCUUUCCCAAGACUCCUUCACAACCUCUAGAUAUCCCUGCAGUCUUGGCCAAAAACUCUCAAAUCUGAACUCUCUAUAACGUCUCCCUGUAGCACUUCCGACAAUAAGCAAUGGGCAAUGCGGGCUGAAUGCGGGAGGCACACGACGAAGGUGUAGACCCAGAUGAUGCCCAUGACCCUGGCCUCGACAUGUGUCCAAUGUGUUUUGACUCGGACGCAGCCGUCCAAAUGCGUGUGUUCUUGCAAAC